AGGCCCAGUGCUGCCCGUGUCCUCAAUUCAUUCCGCGCAUUACCCUAAUAAGGUUAUCUUUAAUUUGUUGUUCCGCGCGUAUGCAUUUUUUAUACUCACGCUGAUCCUUCAAUGACGACAGUGUAAGGUAAAGCCCAAUGAUUUAGCAUUCAUAACAAGAAUCUGUCUUUCUUACUCUAUAAUGGGCGCACCAUUCAUUCGCAGGCAAGCAGCGGGAAGCAGGAAAAGGGGGACUAGACGGCACCAGGCAGUAAGUGGCCAUCAUGCAGGUGCAUACACUGACAUUAUGCCUUGCCAUUUUACAUUCCAAGGACACGAGCAGAAGGACAAGCGCAAGGAACAGGACAAGCGCAAGGAUGGUAAGGAUAUGAACAAGAGUCGGGCUCAAACGGGACGUGGCAGGCCACGUAACGGCCGUUCGGAGGUAUGAAGCCUCUGGUGCAAGACCAUGGCUAUUAACUAAAUGCUUUUUAUUGCGUUAUUUCGAGGCACGUUAUGCCGGUGUCACACCUACAGCCGUCAUUGCACGUAACACGCUCACAACUAUGUGUUCCUGCCUAAACAAUGAUUUGUUGUGAUGCAGAAAUAUGCCUUCCGUCGUGAACAUGACACGCGAGCGGAGGCGAGGAUUGAGCGCUUUAACAAGAAGACAAUAGUGGCGGUAUUGUGGUACAGUUACAUGCGCUUAGCUUUUGUGUGCCCAUUUUUUCUGACGUUUAGACUGUUGAACCCGUUUACAUGGAGUUGCUGGCUGAGUUGCAUUAGGAUUUGCUAUGAAUUCGUACCUGUUAUUCAGGAAUAGUUGAAAUGUAUGAAGAAAACAGUGAGUGCUGUGGUUCACAGGUCAUGUGCAACGGCGGUGCACUUUGCACAUUGUACAGCUCGUGUACUGCUAUUGUAAUGCUUUUGUAUUGCACGGUUGGCCGUACAGUUCGCAGUCCCGCACGCAAAUCGCAGUCACUCGCGUAAAAUUCAAAUGGUAGCACAUGAAUUCGCAGGAUUCGCAGUCGCGUAGCCAUUCGCAAUCCCUUGGCGAUGCGCUUGCGUUAAAAGUCAC
rnacentral:lncRNA from 1 species